CACCGCGGUUAUACGAGAGACCCUAGUUGAUAACUACCGGCGUAAAGAGUGGUUAUGGAAAAUACUUGAUAAAGCCGAACACUCCCUCAGCCGUCAUACGCACCUGGAAGCACGAAGACCUACUGCGAAAGCAGCUUUAAUUAUGCCUGACCCCACGACAGCUAAGAAA
rnacentral:rRNA from 1 species